rnacentral:rRNA from 1 species
AGAGAAACAGAGAGUGGUUGCGCUUUCUGCUCUGGCUUGCCUCAGCUAUUCCCCCGCAGCUCGCGUCGGCGUGCUCGUCGGGGCCAUGGCCUCAGCUCACCCCUGGCCUGCUUGCUUGCUUGCCGCCGCUCGCCUCUGUCCAGUCACCGGAGCUUGCCUCCAGUGGUGCAACCUCCAACUCCACCGCUGCCGCCGUCGAGCCGCCACAACUCCGGCUGCGAAACUGUGAACCAGCUAGAUCUGGCGAGGACCGAGGUCGCCCCGGGACGGAUUCAACGGGAACAGGAACACUUCAAUAUUGAACCGUCGGUGUUGUAUGAAAACCUUCCUCGCCUCCUGACCAUGGAGGUGGUUUGAGAGGUAAUCAUCAGUGAACUGCUUUGGAAAGGCCUGAAAACAAGGAUGUGCAUAAAUAUCUUCUCUAUAUUGGAAAUGGGGUAAAUGAAUAAAAAAAGGCAAGGUAUAAUAGUUAGUGCCAUCUUGUAGUGAACUGAUGUCUUCUUCAUUGUGCAGACAAAGAUCUUGUUGUUUUUUGUCG